AGACGUAGGGGGCAAGCGUUGCUCGGAAUCACUGGGCUUAAAGGGCGCGUAGGCGGUUGUCCAAGUUCAGGGUAGAAGCCCCUGGCUCAACCAGGGAAAUGCCUUGAAGACUGAAUGACUUGAGUAAGUGAGGGGAGGGCGGAAUUCCCGGUGUAGCGGUGAAAUGCGUAGAUAUCGGGAGGAAGGCCUGUGGCGAAGGCGGCCCUCUGGCACUUGACUGACGCUGAGGCGCGAAAGCGUGGGGAGCAAACAGGAUUAGAUACCCGAGUAGUCC
rnacentral:rRNA from 1 species